rnacentral:rRNA from 1 species
UUGAGCGAUUUACUUCGGUAAAGAGCGGCGGACGGGUGAGUAACGCGUGGGUAACCUACCCUGUACACACGGAUAACAUACCGAAAGGUAUGCUAAUACGGGAUAAUAUAUUUGAGAGGCAUCUCUUAAAUAUCAAAGGGGAGCCAGUACAGGAGGGACCCGCGUCUGAUUAGCUAGUUGGUAAGGUAACGGCUUACCAAGGCGACGAUCAGUAGCCGACCUGAGAGGGUGAUCGGCCACAUUGGAACUGAGACACGGUCCAAACUCCUACGGGAGGCAGCAGUGGGGAAUAUUGCACAAUGGGCGAAAGCCUGAUGCAGCAACGCCGCGUGAGUGAUGAAGGCCUUCGGG